rnacentral:tRNA from 1 species
GCGACAGUAGUACAGUUGGUAGUACGCCACCUUGCCAAGGUGGAGGUCGCGGGUUCGAGCCCCGUCUGUCGCUC